GGAAGCCUCCACAUAGAAGG
rnacentral:misc_RNA from 1 species